rnacentral:piRNA from 1 species
UCUGAUGACUGUGCCAAAAACCUGAGCUGU